AGAGUUUGAUCCUGGCUCAGGAUGAACGCUAGCGGCAGGCUUAACACAUGCAAGUCGAGGGGCAGCAUAAUGGAUAGCAAUAUCUAUGGUGGCGACCGGCGCACGGGUGCGUAACGCGUAUGCAACCUACCUUUAACAGGGGGAUAACACUGAGAAAUUGGUACUAAUACCCCAUAACAUCAUGAAAGGCAUCUUUUAUGGUUGAAAAUUCCGAUGGUUAGAGAUGGGCAUGCGUUGUAUUAGCUAGUUGGUGAGGUAACGGCUCACCAAGGCGACGAUACAUAGGGGGACUGAGAGGUUAACCCCCCACACUGGUACUGAGACACGGACCAGACUCCUACGGGAGGCAGCAGUGAGGAAUAUUGGUCAAUGGACGCAAGUCUGAACCAGCCAUGCCGCGUGCAGGAUGACGGCUCUAUGAGUUGUAAACUGCUUUUGUACUAGGGUAAACUCACCUACGUGUAGGUGACUGAAAGUAUAGUACGAAUAAGGAUCGGCUAACUCCGUGCCAGCAGCCGCGGUAAUACGGAGGAUUCAAGCGUUAUCCGGAUUUAUUGGGUUUAAAGGGUGCGUAGGCGGUUUGAUAAGUUAGAGGUGAAAUGUUAGGGCUCAACCCUGAAACUGCCUCUAAUACUGUUGGACUAGAGAGUAGUUGCGGUAGGCGGAAUGUAUGGUGUAGCGGUGAAAUGCUUAGAGAUCAUACAGAACACCGAUUGCGAAGGCAGCUUACCAAACUAUAUCUGACGUUGAGGCACGAAAGCGUGGGGAGCAAACAGGAUUAGAUACCCUGGUAGUCCACGCAGUAAACGAUGAUAACUCGUUGUCGGCGAUAUACAGUCGGUGACCAAGCGAAAGCGAUAAGUUAUCCACCUGGGGAGUACGUUCGCAAGAAUGAAACUCAAAGGAAUUGACGGGGGCCCGCACAAGCGGAGGAACAUGUG
rnacentral:rRNA from 1 species